rnacentral:rRNA from 1 species
GAGGAAAGAUUUAUCGCCGAGAGAUCGGCCCGCGUUGGAUUAGCUUGUUGGUGAGGUAAUGGCUCACCAAGGCUACGAUCUAUAGCUGGUCUGAGAGGAUGAUCAGCCACAUCGGGACUGAGACACGGCCCGAACUCCUACGGGAGGCAGCAGUGGGGAAUAUUGGACAAUGGGGGAAACCCUGAUCCAGCAAUGCCGCGUGU